UUAAUUUGGAUCAACUACAUAGAAGCCCCCACACUUUGGUAACAUUUUUAUUAGUUAGAUAAACAAUGGUAACAUUUUUACGGAUGCUGAGUUAUGAUUCUCCUCUGAAAAGACGUGCUAACAAGAGGCUGUUGACCAUGGAAGAGUAGUUUUACACAAUACCUUGUUGAAGUUCAUUAGCUUUGUUCUUGAACUGUUAGUAUAAUAGAAAUUACUGGACACAUAAAGUUGUGAAGUUUCCUUGACUGGAUUCUGUACUUUUGCGGUUUGUAAUUGUCUCUUUAUCCGGCUGGGGUCUACUCAUCUUUGGGGUUUACAAGUUCUUCACUGGAGGCAAAGGCAAGAAGGAAGAGAAACUGCGGAAGCAUCGCACUGAGGUUUGGAGUUUUAGAUAUUCCCAGAACUUGUUUGAAAUAACGAGUUUGCUUGGGUAUAAUGUCCUCAAAUUUCAUUUUCUUUGUCAGCAACUGAUUUUUGAUCAGUCUAUGGAGAUUGAUACAUUGAAAAAAAUAUCGUGGUUAAUGGCUUUGUUGGGAGUUUAUGCCCUGUCCAAUUAUGUCUUUUUUGUAGUUACUUUUGUGAUUUGAUGCAUUAACCUUUCAUGUGUCAAUAAAA